rnacentral:rRNA from 1 species
GCCCUUAGAGUUUGAUCAUGGCUCAGAACGAACGCUGGCGGCAUGCCUAACACAUGCAAGUCGAACGAGACCUUUCGGGUCUAGUGGCGCACGGGUGCGUAACGCGUGGGAAUCUGCCCUCUGGUACGGAAUAACUCAGGGAAACUUGAGCUAAUACCGUAUAAUGACUUCGGUCCAAAGAUUUAUCGCCUGAGGAUGAGCCCGCGUCGGAUUAGCUAGUUGGUGAGGUAAAGGCUCACCAAGGCGACGAUCCGUAGCUGGUCUGAGAGGAUGAUCAGCCACACUGGGACUGAGACACGGCCCAGACUCCUACGGGAGGCAGCAGUGGGGAAUAUUGGACAAUGGGGGAAACCCUGAUCCAGCAAUGCCGCGUGAGUGAUGAAGGCCUUAGGGUUGUAAAGCUCUUUUACCCGGGAUGAUAAUGACAGACCGGAGAAUAAGCCCAAAAG